rnacentral:rRNA from 1 species
UACGUAGGCAGCAAGCGUUGUUCGGAGUUACUGGGCGUAAAGGGUUUGUAGGCGGUUCCCUAAGUUUGGUGUGAAAUCUCCCGGCUCAACUGGGAGGGUGCGCCGAAAACUGGGGGGCUAGAGUACUGGAUGGGAGAGUGGAAUUCCUGGUGUAGCGGUGAAAUGCGGAGAUAUCAGGAGGAACACCUGUGGUGUAGACGGCUCUCUGGACAGUAACUGACGCUGAGAUACGAAAGCGUGGGUAGCAAACAGG